UAAAUGAAAGCCAAAAAGAGGCGCCUAGCUGUUAAUUAGGAGAAUGUAAAAUUAGUUACUCAUUUAG
rnacentral:tRNA from 1 species